AUGCAGAAAUACUGGAGGUAUGCUUGGUUUGGGGGAGGGCAUCUCUUAAAUAGUUUCCUGCUGUUCAUAGUCAGACUGGUGAGAGCCAGACUUGUUGAAGGAAAAGGGGGCACCAAGGCCACCACAGGACAGCAGAGGCAUCACAAUGACCCUGAGGAGGUGGAGAUCUCCGCAGUGACAUCACAUACAGACCAAGGAUUUCUCCUGGUCUCAUGCUGGACGUGCUGCAUGGGAGCACACAACAGCACCACCGCUCCCACCCUGCUUGCUACAUGCUCCCAGAGCCUCCACUCCUGGCCUGGCUGUUUCCCAAGCCUACCCCCGUGUACAUGCUUCUGUGGAUUGCUGCUGCAGGCUGUCUGGGUGGAGCUGGCUUGAUGCAAAUCCGCCUUAAUCUUCAAUAAUCAUAUUAAUAUAAAAGAUUCCAGUGACAGAUGGAUCUCUUUCGUGCACACUUGCUCUUUCCCUCUCUGUAUUUUUGUUUUCGACAUGUUUGAUCCGAAGCUCUGAAGCUUCUCAGAGGGUACCCAGGAAAGAAGGAAGAGAAGGAGUAGAAGCCAAGGGAGCGUGAGCGACUCAGGAGGCAGCCCUGCCUUGUUCUUCCAAAUCACACUGUGGAGGGGCAGGGGAAGACUAGAGGGGGGAGGACUUGGGUUUGUUUUGGG
rnacentral:lncRNA from 1 species